rnacentral:rRNA from 1 species
GACAACGCUGGCGGCGUGCUUAACACAUGCAAGUCGAACGGAGUUACGUAUGAAGUAUUUCGGUACGGACUACAUAACUUAGUGGCGAACGGGUGAGUAACACGUGGGCAACCUGCCCUUAACCGGGGGAUAACAUUGUGAAAACAGUGCUAAUACCGCAUAACAGAGUAUCGGGCAUCCGAUAUUUUAAAAGGAGCAAUCCGGUUUAGGAUGGGCCCGCGUCCAAUUAGCUAGUUGGUGAGGUAACGGCUCACCAAGGCUACGAUUGGUAGCCGAACUGAGAGGUUGAUCGGCCACAUUGGGACUGAGACACGGCCCAGACUCCUACGGGAGGCAGCAGUGGGGAAUAUUGGGCAAUGGGCGAAAGCCUGACCCAGCGACGCCGCGUGAAGGAUGAAGGUCUUCGGAUUGUAAACUUCUUUGAUCAGGGAAGAAAGAAAUGACGGUACCUGAAGAACAAGCCACGGCUAACUACGUG